rnacentral:rRNA from 1 species
CUGACCUUCCAAAGGUCGUGCACGCCCAAGCACUCUCACACAUAUCCACCUCACCCCUUUGUGCAUCACCGCGUGGGUCCUCCUUUGCAGGAGGGCUCGCGUUUUCACACAAAACUUGAUAUAGUGUAGAAUGUCAUCAUUUGCGGUCACACGCAAUCAAUACAACUUUCAACAACGGAUCUCUUGGCUCUCGCAUCGAUGAAGAACGCAGCGAAAUGCGAUACGUAAUGUGAAUUGCAGAAUUCAGUGAAUCAUCGAAUCUUUGAACGCACCUUGCGCCCCUUGGCAUUCCGAGGGGCACACCCGUUUGAGUGUCGUGAUAUUCUCAAAAGCCUUUUUCUGCUCUUGCUGAAAAGGGUUUUUUGGACUUGGAGGUUCAAUGCUUGCUUUUCACUUUUGAAAAGUAAGCUCCUCUCAAAUGAAUCAGUGGGGUCCGCUUUGCUGAUCCUUGACGUGAUAAGAUGUUUCUACGUUUUGGAUUUGGCACUGUCUUUUUUUGGAUGCCUGCUUCUAACCGUC